rnacentral:lncRNA from 1 species
GAAGUUUGAAAAUGCAAUGGCAUAAGGCCAAAGUUUCUAGCUUUUUGCAAAAGUGGUCAAAGUUUAGAAAAAAAUAAGUUCAAUCAAAGAAGGUUUUGAAAAAGGAGGGAGAUAUUUUGAAAUUAAAGAAAUGGGGAGAAGAUGAAGAGACUAAUCCUAUGUACAAAAUUAAAAGUUAAGAGUUGAAAAGAUCUGACCAAAUGGGUAGUAAUCCAAUAGACAAGAAUGUCAAUAGAA